rnacentral:lncRNA from 1 species
UUAUUUUCUUUUAACAUUUGUAAUAAGCUAAUUUUGGCUUGACCAGUUGAUAAAAUAAAAGCCAAACAAAUAAACAAUUAACCAGUCCAAAAUGAAUGUCCAUUUAUAUGUUGAACCCAAACCAAAAUUAAACCAGUCCAAAAUUUAAAACCCAAUAACUUAAACCCUAAUAGUCCAAUUAACCCAAAAUAUUUCAGCAAAAUAAACUCUAGCCCCCUUGACUAGCGCCGCACAUCACUCUGCCACCGCUGCCCGCAUGCCAUCGCCGACCUCCAUGCGCGUCUAACACUUGCAAAGAGAGAUCAACACGCAAGACAGAAGAAACAAGAGCAAAAAGACAAAAAAAAUAGAAGCAAACAGUCUUAAUGUUGGCUAUAAAAGCAAAAAACAAUUUCUUUGUAAUUUUUUUACGCACAUCAGUAAAUCAAAAAGCAGAAUAGAGAUUUGGAAAGGUUGUUGUUUUGAUCUUUUUGUUUCUUUUAUUUUCUUGUUUCUUUUUUUUUAUUUUAUUUUUUACAAAUUUAUUUUAAGUAUAAAAAGCGAAAAAAUAAAAAGAAAGAAAAGAGUUACCUGAACUGACCCGCGAUCUCGUCAUUGGGAGCCCUUCCCCACGCUGAAAUCAGACCAAUAGGGGAUCCGGGGUCCUUUUCUUGCGUCUUUCUUGGGGAGAGGAGAUUCGGCCUUCAAAGGGUUUUAGAAAGGGGUUAAAAAACUCUCAUUUUUGUGCAGCUCCGACCACCAUCCAUUGUGGGUCGCGACAGUCCUGCCACGGCGGGUUCAAGGGGACAACGGCAGACCAAAGCUGGGUUUGAAACCCUAGCAGAGAAAAAACGAGAGUUUUAAAAUUUUUUU